CCUAGCCAUAAACAUUGGUAGCACAUUACACCCACUACCCGCCUGGGAACUACGAGCAUCAGCUUGAAACCCAAAGGACUUGGCGGUGCUUUAGAUCCACCUAGAGGAGCCUGUUCUAGAACCGAUAACCCCCGUUCAACCUCACCUUUCCUUGUCUCUCCCGCCUAUAUACCGCCGUCGUCAGCUUACCCUGUGAAGGUUAAAUAGUAAGCAAAAUUGGUACAACCUAAAACGUCAGGUCGAGGUGUAGCGUAUGGGAAGGGAAGAAAUGGGCUACAUUUCCUACUACAGGAAAUACGAAUGAUGUACUGAAACGUAUAUCUGAAGGAGGAUUUAGCAGUAAGCAGGAAAUAGAGCGUCCCGCUGAAAUUGGCCCUGAAGCGCGCAC
rnacentral:rRNA from 1 species